rnacentral:rRNA from 1 species
UACGUAGGGACCAAGCGUUGUUCGGAUUUACUGGGCGUAAAGGGCGCGUAGGCGGCAUGACAAGUCACUUGUGAAAUCUCCGGGCUUAACUCGGAACGGUCAAGUGAUACUGUCGCGCUAGAGUGCGGAAGGGGCAAUCAGGAUUCUUGGUGUAGCGGUGAAAUGCGUAGAUAUCAAGAGGAAUACCUGAGGUGAAGACGGGUUGCUAGGCCGACACUGACGCUGAAGCGCGAAAGCCAGGGGAGCAAACGGG